AUUUGAAGGUCUGAUUGACAACUAAUGUUUUGCUGCAGCAUUUGGUUUCUACUAUAACAAUGUAAGUGUCUUUUGUUUUCUAUUUUAGUUUUACCACUCUUAUGAUACUGUUGCAGGUCUUUGAUGAAUUCAACGACCAAACUGAUAUCGGUGGAGAUCUACACGAUGUAAGGGAAGUCAUUCUUCAGUCUGUUGAGGCAUGCUAUCGUCCCCGCCUCAGCACAACGUGAAGUACAAAUCAAAGGUGUGGGCGAGUACAAUUGUCAAGAAGAUCCCAAUCCCUGUGGUUAUGAGGUUGGAGAUUAAAGGUGCCUGACCGACCACUAGACCAUGGGACCAUAUUAGAGUGAAUCAAUAGCACCAGCGGCAGCUCACUUCCUCCUCCCUAUAACGACUCCCCGAUUAGGUGAAAUCAAAACUGAAAUUGAAAGCUCAUUAACAUUUGGGUUUUGGUUUGCUAUAUAUUAGCAAAAUGGAUGGUUAGUUUUAAGAUUAAUAUAUCCGUUCAUUGCAACAUGAUUCCGAUCAAGUAGUAAAAGUAUUGCCUAGAAAUUA